UAAUACAGAGGGUGCAAGCGUUAAUCGGAAUUACUGGGCGUAAAGGGCGCGUAGGCGGAUUUGUAAGUUAUGUGUGAAAUCUCUGGGCUUAACCUGGGAACUGCACAUAAUACUGUAAGUCUAGAGUAGAGUAGAGGAAAGUGGAAUUUCCGGUGUAGCGGUGAAAUGCGUAGAUAUCGGAAGGAACACCAGUGGCGAAGGCGGCUUUCUGGACUCAUACUGACGCUGAGGCGCGAAAGCGUGGGGAGCAAACAGGAUUAGAUACCCUGGUAGUCCAUGCUGUAAACGAUGAAGACUAGAUGUUGCUGGGAUAAAACUUGGCAGUAUCGAAGCAAACGCGAUAAGUCUUCCGCCUGGGGAGUACGGUCGCAAGAUUA
rnacentral:rRNA from 1 species